rnacentral:rRNA from 1 species
UACGUAGGGUGCAAGCGUUGCUCGGAAUUAUUGGGCGUAAAGGGUAGGUAGGUGGUCUCAUUUGUCUGGGGUGAAAGCCUUGAGCUUAACUCAAGAAGUGCCCCAGAAACGGUGAGACUAGAGUCUUGGAGAGGGUCGUGGAAUUCCCGGUGUAGCGGUGAAAUGCGUAGAGAUCGGGAGGAACACCAGAGGCGAAGGCGGCGACCUGGACAAGUACUGACACUCAACUACGAAAGCGUGGGGAGCAAACAGG